CAGCAGCCGCGGUAAUACGUAGGUGGCAAGCGUUGUCCGGAAUUACUGGGUGUAAAGGGUGCGCAGGCGGGACUGCAAGUUGGAUGUGAAAUACCGGGGCUCAACCCCGGGGCUGCAUCCAAAACUGUGGUUCUUGAGUGAAGUAGAGGUAAGCGGAAUUCCGAGUGUAGCGGUGAAAUGCGUAGAUAUUCGGAGGAACACCAGUGGCGAAGGCGGCUUACUGGGCUUUAACUGACGCUGAGGCACGAAAGCAUGGGUAGCAAACAGGAUUAGAUACCCUGGUAGUCCAUGCCGUAAACGAUGAUUGCUAGGUGUGGGGGGACUGACCCCUCCCGUGCCGGAGUUAACACAAUAAGCAAUCCACCUGGGGAGUACGACCGCAAGGUUGAAACUCAAAGGAAUUGACGGGGGCCCGCACAAGCAGUGGAGUAUGUGGUUUAAUUCGAAGCAACGCGAAGAACCUUACCAGGUCUUGACAUCCAACUAACGAAGUAGAGAUACAUUAGGUGCCCUUCGGGGAAAGUUGAGACAGGAGGUGCAUGGCC
rnacentral:rRNA from 1 species